AACAAGCCCCGCCUCACGGAGCCGGCGGAGUGCAGCAGCUUCAGUGCGCAACCUGCCCGCGGGGGUUUUCGUUAUUACUGUUGCCAGAACUCCAGGCUUAUAAUUGACGAGUCAGACCCACGUGUCACUUCGAGAGAAACCCCAGCCUAAAACAGGAAUGCAGCUCAGGAAAACACCAACCCGGAUAAAUAAAUCUUGUGUCAAAUGCAGAAAGCGGGCAAAAUACUGCUCUUACAACAGCUAGGGUGAAGCUUCCACGUGGACCACAUUCUCCCGAGACGCACACUGAGGCGCACACUGCGGCCACGCCGUGACACAGCACUCGAGGCACAGGCGGAGGCCAGGUCUGGGCUGAGGUGUCUCCACGUCCCCAGAGUACCGUCCGCUCUCAGGUGCUGGGUAUUUAGUCCCAGAGAGGAGGAAAGUGACUAAGACGCCUGUCUCAAAGUGAAGAGGAAAAAGGGCUGGGGCCGCGGCUGGUGAACACUAUUGCCCAGCAUGUGCAAGGCAGGUGUCCUGCGUGUGCAAGGCCGGUGCGUCCCCAGUGCAGGGGAAGCAGCUGUCUACGGUGCAGCUCGCACACGGCGCU